CCGCACAAACAACAGUGCAACCACUACGUACACGUACAGGAGAUUGGGAACUCAAUUGAAAUCGAUUCGGCGAGUGAAAGCAAAGUUGCAAGUUCAAUGUUGCCAAGUUUCGUCAGGUUCCAGCCAUCUGACAGUUGCGACGUGACAAACAUGAUAUUUAAGGACCAGUAAUGCAUCGACAGAGGAUGACUCGAAGAAAGAGUGUUCAAGAUCAGUAAGAACAACCUGAACAGGAACGGUCCCAGAAUUGCGAUCAAGGCGCGUGAAAUUACAAAUCUCAGAGCAGGAAAUGCUAUCCUCAGUACGAACGGUUUCCAGAGUAUCAUUAAGGCUGUCAUUAACAUUUUGGAUUGAGACAUACUUUCAACAUAGUCAUCAGCAACCUCCAAAAAUAAUUCCGUAGUUAUAGAGUCAAUUAUUGUAUUAUUAAUUUUCAUAUUUUUCUGAUGUAAGUCAAAGAUCUUUGUCGUAGUAUAUCAUAAUGUUAGUGAACAUGUCAAAUUGUGAUAAUAAUAUAAUUUGUCGUUACAUAAAUAAAAGUAAAAUAAAAGAAAA